rnacentral:misc_RNA from 1 species
GAUGAAGAACGCAGUGAAAUGCGAUAAGUAAUGUGAAUUGCAGAAUUCAGUGAAUCAUCGAAUCUUUGAACGCACCUUGCGCCCUUUGGCCAUUCCGAAGGGCAUGCCUGUUUGAGUAUCAUGAACACCUCAACUCUUUAUGGUUUUCCAUGAUGAGCUUGGACUCUGGGGGUUUUGCUGGCUCACAGUCGGCUCCUCUAAAAUGAAUCAGCUUACCAGUGUUUGGUGGGUAUCAUGGGUGUGAUAACUAUCUACGCUUGUGGUUUUUCCACCAGGUAACCUUCAGCAGUGGAGGUUCGCUGGAGCUCAUAGAUGUCUCUCCUCAGUGAGGACAACCCUUUGAAUGUUUGAUCUCAAAUCAGGUAGGACUACCCGCUGAACUUAAGCAUAUCAAUAAGCGGAGGA